rnacentral:rRNA from 1 species
AUGCCCACUUUCGCUCUUUCAGUACCGCGGGUGCCACAAAAGUUGCUCAAGGAGAUUGACAAGUGCAGGAGAAGAUUCCUUUGCAAGCAAGAGGAGGAGAUAACAGGGGCCAACUGCAAGGUUAACUGGCCAACGGUGUGUGCCCCAAUAGAGAGGGAGGGGGGGGGGCUCGAAAUCCUUGACCUGCAAAGUUUCAGCCGAGCCCUCUGA